GAUUGUUGUGACGUGGGUGGUUCGCCGCCUUCGAUACCGCAAGAAGUCCAUUGAACCUUAUCAUUUAGAGGAAGGAGAAGUCGUAACAAGGUUUCCGUAGGUGAACCUGCGGAAGGAUCAUUG
rnacentral:rRNA from 2 species